rnacentral:rRNA from 1 species
UACGUAGGGGGCUAGCGUUGUCCGGAAUCAUUGGGCGUAAAGCGCGUGUAGGCGGCCCGGUAAGUCCGCUGUGAAAGUCGGGGGCUCAACCCUCGAAAGCCGGUGGAUACUGUCGGGCUCGAGUGCGGAAGAGGCGAGUGGAAUUCCUGGUGUAGCGGUGAAAUGCGCAGAUAUCAGGAGGAACACCGAUUGCGAAGGCAGCUCGCUGGGACGUUACUGACGCUGAGACGCGAAAGCGUGGGGAGCGAACAGG